ensembl:lncRNA
UUGCUUUACAACCCACUGGCACCAGGCCGUCUGCAUCAGUUACUGGACACCGGAGCUAUUCUGAACACCUCUUCCGAUGCACACCAUCCCAGUGUCCGGUCUCCAUGUGGAAGUCUGCAAGCCAAGGUCACCAGGUCGCAUUCCUCCAGCUCUUUGGCAUUCUGCCCCAGGGUUCAAGUAGUGUUGAAUUGUGUGUGUGUCUGUGUGUGUGUAUGUGUGUGUGUGUGUGCGUGUGUGCGUGUGUGUGUGUGUGUGUGUGUGUGUGUGUGUGUGUGUGAGCUGUUUGUCUUUCAUGCCACAAACUACAUUCUGUUAGAGGAGAACUGUUGCCACAUAGUUCUGUACUGGCGACAGCUAGAGGUACACACACACACACACGCACACACACACACACACACACACACACACACACACACACACACACACACACACACACACACACACACAAGCUGUGUAGAUGUGUGUGUGAGUGUGCACCUUACAUUUGUAAAGCUCUGUAUUUCACUGUAUGUGAUAUACAGAGCUUUAAAAGGACAAGUUACACAGUAGCAUGAUUAAUGUGGCUGUGUCCGCGCAUACUAUCAACAGUGCUGGUUGGCUGUUGGUGGAAGUGAGCGCUAUGAGAAACUGCUGUUUGCUUGGGGGUGGACACUGAUCCCUCGGGAUCAAUUGCAGAUGGACAUAUUUUAAGUCUAUCUGGUUGAUUUAGUCUCUGUGCACUUGACACUUGAGCACACCAGCGGAAGUGAAGGCAGUCAGUUCAGCACUAUAGUGUGAGAAAUUCAACACAGUUUGGCUGGUAAAACAAAUCCAGCUGAACUCCACCAGAGGCAGAGAAAAACAGACUAGAGAAGUAUAUGUUUUUAUCAAGUGAAUUUUAAAAGUAAUCAAUUUGAUAAGACAUCAUUAAACUUAAAAUAGCUUUUAUAAAAUAGUUCACAAAGUAUAGUUCAACACAAAACUUAAGCAAGUGCACUUCACUGCUUCAACAAUCCAGAAACUGCUAAUGCAAAAACUUACAUGAAAAUUUAACCAAACAGCUUCAAAGGUAACACUGGAUAAGCACAUUGCAUAAGAAAGGAGUAUUUCCUCCAGGCUGUUUCUUUGAAUAGAUUAGUUGAGGAGAAGAUAAGACCCUGUGCUGGUUUUAUCGUAUUCCCUGACCAGCAUGUAGAGUAGGCUGGAUCAGUCUGAUCAGCCCACAGAUGAAGACACGGGCAUCAGAUCUUUGCCUUCCUGGAGAGAGUGAGACCAGGGAUUUGUGGGCCUGUAACACAAAACAUUUUCUCCUUUCCCUCUGAUUCCAUGAGCUGUGCAAGUUAUUCAUCAGUGACAUCAAUUCCACUUUGAAGGUGUGAUUUUCCAUUUAAAUUUUUAUCAUUUUACGUGUUCAAGUACGACUGAUGCAGGUAGAUUGAGUGAAACAUGAGUGUUGAAACCCAACUUACUCAUUUUUGCCACUAAAGUCACAUUUAUUUCAAUUAUGCAUGCUAAUUUAUAAUGAAAAUGUCAUUUUAAAAAUUUAGCAUUUAGCAUUGCUACAUACCUAUCACUAACAUGCAUAAUAGUUCAGUGUGAAACAUAUAGCAAUUUAUAUUAGGAACAUGUUAAUGUCACCAUUUUAAACUUCAUACUCAUUCACUGUCAUACUUUGUCCUUUUAACAACUCAUAUGUAUUGUGCUUUUGUUUUUGGAAAGCAUAGAAAAAACAUUAGACUUGUCUCAGCUAGUUAUUAAAGUCUUAAACUCUGUGUCUGGGCAACAGUAAAUUUCACCUUGUUGUUAGUGUUUCAUUACUCAUGUACAAAACUAGCACAGUGUCCCACUGGGAGAAAAAUCUGUCAUCACAGGAAAUUUAGUGAAAUCUUUAGAGUAGGUCUUAAAAUAAAAGCAGCCAUGCUUUCUGGGAGCUCGGGAUUUCCAGUGGUGUGCUAAUCAAGUAAAAACCAAACCAAACAACUGGUUAAAAAGUGAAGCUCUGUUCUAUUUAUAAAGGCAAGGACAUCCUAGUGACAGUGUUUCCAUCACCACUUUGGAGAUGAUGUUUGUGUGAAGCAGCUGGAUUUCAAUGCACUGAUCUAUUUUAAUCACUCUUAUAUCCUACACGCAGCGUUUAAAACUAUUUACCAGGAUGCAAACUGUCCAACCAACAGAAAAAGACGCAUAGCACCGAUCUUUAAGUAUUUCUCCCAUAAAUAAAAACAAUAGAUCUGUUGUAUUCAUGAAAGGAUGGGAAAAUCUAAACAAAAACAAUUCCCAUUUUCCAGAACUUCCCUGAAAUUCCAAGAGUCCUGCCGGAAAUCCAACAUGAGGCAACAUGCUGUCCCCCUGAAAGGGUCGUAGAGUGUGAAUAAGUCCACAGAGCAAACGUGGCCGUGGCUGACAGACGGACUGAGUCAGCGCCACAUUCCAGUGGAGUCAACCAUCCACUUUACCCUUCGCACACACACACGCACACACACACACACACACACACACACACCCACACACACACACACACACACACACACACACACACACACACACACACACACACGAUUCACCUCAAUAUUCUGGUUUUCCUUUGCCCCAACACGCAUACUGCACACUAUACAGGUGUACCGUUCUCUACAACCUGGCAAAAUAACUUACCUUUACACAAAUCCAAACCAUAUAUGAAAGUCCGUCUUGCACAUCAUUCUCUAAAAUUGCAUCUCCAUCUUAUUAUUACUAUCUUAAUGGAAAGAUAUGAAGUUUCAAAGCUUUUAGUUAUGGAAAGCAGCCCAUCCCUUGCCUUUCAUACUGCAUAACCUGUCCCCUUUUCUGUCUUUUCUCUCUGUUUCUCUCUGCUUUAUCCAGUUACCAAGAAAGCUAUCUGAUGGUAAAUAACUGUUGUGCCCCUGCACCCUCACACCCUGACCCGAUCAUGCAGUGGUAGGCAGGAGAGGCCCGCUGAUCACCUCUGACAGCCACCCAGGACUGAGCUCUGUGCAUCUCUCUGUGCGCAUUGAAAGUACAGCAGACUCUGUUGCUGCUACUAGCUGUAUGAAUCCUGGGCUGACCUGAGUCAUCUGCUUACAUGCUCAAGCUGUCAGCCUGCUUUCUCAUAACAGCUUGCCAGUAAAUACAGUUUUGUCCAUCAGGAGUUUUUUUUAAAGUAAAGCUUACGAUGACAAAAAGUACUAACAUCACCAUAACAUACCAUAUGGGAUUCUUAUACAUGCCAACAUAUAUGCGCAUGACAUUUUGUUUCAGAGUCCUGGCCAAUUAAUGUGCAGCUGUAGCAGUCUUCACUCUUCCGGGAAGGCUUUUCACAGGAUUUUAGAGCUCAGCUGUGGGGAUUUGUUCAGUCACAAGACGAUUUGUCAUGUCUGCCAAGCACUGAUGUUAGCUCAUCGAACCUGGCAAAUAUAUCAUAAAAAUGUUAGAUGAAAAUGCAGUCAGCACUAGCCAGUAAAAGUUAAAAAGUUGGGUGUUAAUAAACUUUGUGUACAGAUAUUCCUUAAAACACCUCUCAUAUAUGUCUUUAAAUCAAUUUACAAUGAGCAAAAAAAUUUACUUAAUAUCCUUCAUACUGAUUUCUCUUUCUCUUGUCUCAGUGUGGAACAGUGCUGUAAAGGUGUGUGAUUAACUCUGUGAGUCAGAUGCAGGUGUUUUGCAAUUUAAGGAAGGCCUCUAAUGCCACCUUUUUUUUUUUUUUUUUUUACAAGUAUACAUCUUCACACGCAAGCCUACCGUCAGUCAGGAGGAGCCACAGCGUACAGGUUAUCAUUCAUCACACUGGAGACAGUCAGUGGGUCUGCAGCUGGAGCGUCUGUGUUUACACGCUGACAGAUUUAGACCAGGCUAGGGAUGUGAGUGAUCUCUCUCGUGGGGGUUUGCACUUACUAUGGUUGUGGAUAACAGCCACAGAUUAAAGCUGAAUUCAAUUAGAGAGUCAGAGAGGUUAAAUCAGGUCUUCAGAUAAGAUAAAAAGAAGACAUAAAGGUCUCUCUGAAGACCUACAGUACAUUAUACCUACUUUAGACUGGGAGAGUUUAAACAGAGUCCAGGGGCUUCAGUACAACCCGGAGCCCAUCUCUGUAUCACGGUGCUAGUUUGUCAUUUAGACAGCUAUUGCCAGUGCAUGAUAAUGGUGAUGACUGGUAUUGUCACUUGCCUGGAGUAAUGCAAUGUGGAUUUUCCUGUAAGGUCACCGGAGUGACGCAAAAGCUGUGUCUUAAAAGCACAAACUAAGUCAUCUAUCCAAAUAAAAUACAGGCUACACACAGUGAGUAACGCAUGUCAGGUGUGUGUGGGUUUUUUUUUUUUUUAACCUUGAUUUUGAAACAGAUUUGCAUCAAUAGUUUUGUUCACUGAGCAUGGCACGGC